UGCCAAUGAUGCAAUUCAUUGCACUUAUUAUCAGAUAUAUUUUAAAUGUUGAUAAAUCUGAUUGUCACUACCUCUGAGGCA